rnacentral:rRNA from 1 species
CCUACGGGCGACAGCAGUGAGGAAUAUUGGUCAAUGGACGAGAGUCUGAACCAGCCAAGUAGCGUGAAGGAUGACUGCCCUAUGGGUUGUAAACUUCUUUUAUAUGGGAAUAAAAUGUUCCACGUGUGGGAUUUUGUAUGUACCAUAUGAAUAAGGAUAGGCUACCUCCGUGCCAGCAGCCGCGGUAAUCCGGAGGAUCCGAGCGUUAUCCGGCUUUAUGGGGUUUAAAGGGAGCGUAGGUGGGUUGUUAAGUCAGUUGUGAAAGUUUGCGGCUCAAACGUAAAAUUGCAGUUGAAACUGGCAGUCUUGAGUACAGUAGAGGUGGGCGGAAUGCGUGGUGUAGCGGUGAAAUGCUUAGAUAUCACGAAGAACUCCGAUUGCGAAGGCAGUUCACUGGACUGCAACUGACACUGAGGCUCGAAAGUGUGGGUAUCAAACAGGAUUAGAUACCCGGGUAGUC